UCCCUGGUGGCUCAGACAGUAGAGAAUCUGCCUGCAAUGCAGGAGACCCUGGUUCGAUCCCUGGGUUGGGAA
rnacentral:tRNA from 1 species